AGGAUGAACGCUGGCGGCGUGCUUAACACAUGCAAGUCGAACGGAGUUAGAGAGCUUGCUCUUAAACUUAGUGGCGGACGGGUGAGUAACGCGUGGGUAACCUGCCUUUCACUGGGGGAUAACAGUUAGAAAUGACUGCUAAUACCGCAUAAGCGCACGGGAUCGCAUGAUCUAGUGUGAAAAACUCCGGUGGUGAAAGAUGGACCCGCGUCUGAUUAGCUAGUUGGUGAGGUAACGGCCCACCAAGGCGACGAUCAGUAGCCGGCCUGAGAGGGUGAACGGCCACAUUGGGACUGAGACACGGCCCAAACUCCUACGGGAGGCAGCAGUGGGGAAUAUUGCACAAUGGGGGAAACCCUGAUGCAGCGACGCCGCGUGAGUGAAGAAGUAUUUCGGUAUGUAAAGCUCUAUCAGCAGGGAAGAAAAUGACGGUACCUGACUAAGAAGCCCCGGCUAACUACGUGCCAGCCGCCGC
rnacentral:rRNA from 1 species